GCACCUGGCGCAUGGGUGCACCAUUUGUCCUUUAUGAAAUUGAUUUGUAAAGAAAAUAAAAGAGAACCUGCUAUAACAGGUCAAGGUAAUAGGUUUUCUCUUGGGCCUUUUUACGCUAUAGCAUCUCUCCCUCUCAACCCUAAUUCCUCAUCUCAUUUGAGAUUUUUUUCAGAAACAGAAAGCUCCCAUUCUUCUAUCACUUGCUUUCUCAGUCAGAGGCAUUUCAAAUUUACUUAGGGUUGGAUUUCUCAUCUCUCUCUUUGAGUUCGAUUCCUUCCACAACAGCUCCUCUCCUCCUCCUGUAACGAAGAGACGAUGCCGGCAACCACAUCUCCUUUCCUCACAGGUUUUCACAGUUAUGAUUCCUUUGUCUCACUCUCAUCUGGAUCUCUGUGGCUGGCUUUAUCUCAACCUCUCUAUGGCAGAUAGAUCAUUGCUACUUACUUUAAAUUGAUGGCCUUCAGACUGCAUAUCGUUCAAACAUUGGGUUCUUGAAGGAAGAUGCUAGAUGAUGGAGAAUCCAUUUCAGCCUUGAAGAGAUAUUGCAGUUGGAGGUCCUAUCCUUGCUAGUUGUUUGGGAACACAGAGACGUGAAGAUGAAUAUGCACUUUGGGUUUCCCUUGUCCGAUGGUUCGCUGAUCAUCACAAGUGUUUUGAUUUGCUUUCUGGUUCGUUCAAUGUAUAGUAAAAUAUCGCUAUAUAAUUUAUUUCCUCUUCUUUUGCAGCGGGAGUAGCUAUUUUCAUUUUACUGAUAUCAUUUUACUCAACUCGUGACGUACAAGGAGUGACAGAGGCAGAAAAAUUCAGCGAUUCAUAUCUUUUGUGGCUCAUGAGUUGGUGAUGUGUGUUUUAUUGUGAAUGGUAGUUUGAGUAUGUCAUGUCAAGUUGGCUACAUAAGAAAUACACAAAUUCCUGGGAAGAAUACGAUUUCUUGAAUUGUUUAUUAGGAGUAGGAUGUGUUUACUUGAUUGUCGACAUUAUAUUUAGUGUUUCAUAAAUGCAUUAGAAUGGUUAAAAGCACUACAAAUUCUAUUGUUUUUACUUUUAGGUACUGAAAGCAUGGAAGAGAAGAAAAAUGAAAUGACAGAGGUCGUUUGGCAAUUACCAUUCAGACGAUUGGCUUUCGCAAAUUAGAAUGGCAAUUACAUAGUGCCUAUUUGUCAAUUGCCAACAUGACUUGGCUGUGUUGUAACAAAAUAAAGGAAUUUUAUAUGAGCUUGGUGACGUAAGGCAUGGGUUGAAUUGAAGAUGGGAGUUUAGUAGAAUGUAGUUCAAUUUUUAUUUUUUCUAUUUCUACUGUUGUUUUUAGCCUUCAGAUCUUUGAUUGUAGUUCAGUUUUUUUUUCCCUUCUUGUAUUUGGCAUUUAGUUUUUUUUAAAUUUGUGUAAAAUACAAUAUAUGAUUUGCCAAUGCAAUUGACAUAGGUAGUGUCAUUUCCAUUUA